UUCUCUUUUAAUUUUUUUUUUUUUUAAGUUUUUGUUUUCAGAAAACAUAAUUUGUCUUCUGUGUUUUCAAAUGAUUUAGUGGUGUCUAUGUUGAUUCGGGUUUUGAUUUUAGUUUCUCAAGAGAACUCCGUUUGGACGCUUAGAACGGAGGGAAAUAAAGGGAAACGGAAGAACAAUAGGUAGCUUAGGAUGGCUGGGAGACAUCGUCUGCCUCGUGAUGCUUUUGAUAACCGACGUGGAUUCCCCCCUGAGGGGCCUUUUGUUCGUGGCCCCCCAGUAAUGCCUCGGAGACCUCCUCAUCCUGCUUUGCUGGAGGAAGAACUUGAUGUGCAGCAUGCUGAAAUUCGAAGGCUUUUGGGGGAAAAUAGGAGGCUAGUUGAAGAUCGAAUGGCUCUGCAGCGAGAGCUAGGUGGUGCAAAGGAAGAGCUUCAUCGCAUGAAUAUUGCCAUUGGUGAUAUGCGUGCAGAACAAGAAGUGCGUUCGAGAGAACUUAUUGAGAAAGGAUUGAAGCUGGAAGCUGAUCUUCGGGCUACUGAACCUUUGAAAAAUGAGGCCAUGCAAUUCCGUGCUGAAGUUCAGAAGCUGAAUACCAUUAGGCAGGAUCUUGCUGGGCAAAUUCAGAGCCUUACACAAGACCUCACAAGGUUGAAAGCUGAUAAUCAGCAGAUUCCUGUUUUAAGGGCAGAGAUUGAUGGACUACACCAGGAGAUGAUGCGUGCGAGAAAUGCCAUUGAUUAUGAAAAGAAGGUGAACAUGGAGUUGGUGGAACAGAGACAGGCGCUGGAGAAGAAUUUGGUUUCCAUGGCACGUGAAGUUGAAAAGCUACGUGCAGAACUUGCAAGCACCGAUAGUAGGCCGUGGGGUGUUGGUGGACCAUACGGGAUGAAAUUUGGCAGUCCGGAUGGAGGAUUUUCUUCAUCUUAUGGAGAUGGAUAUGGAGCUCAUCUGGGUGGUGCUGACAAGGGACCUAUGUAUGGCCCAAAUUCUGCUUCCUGGGGAGGGCUUGAGAAGUCUCGUAUGACUCGCCGUUGAGAUAUUGGAAUGUUUGGUGUUUGCUUCACAGAAAGGGCGUGGCUGUGACUUGAUGUCAUUAUCCAAUAUAUAAAUCACUAGAUUCAUCUGUAUGAAGGCAUAUUUGUGUGACCUAAAUAUUACUGAAAGGUGAUCAAAGAAAUCAGGUAUAUCUUUACUACUAUGAGAGGAGGUGCAUUCCAUCUGAGCCUGCCAAAAUGAAUUUGGGAUUGGAAAAAUGACACAGAGCACAGAGGCAGAGGACGAAAAAAUUAUGAUAAUUAUUUACAGGUAGUUUUCAUGACUGAUGGGUGCAGAAAACAUCCUGGAUUGUUGUCCUAGGUUGAAGUCGGGAUUCAAUUCUGUCCCCUUGGAGAAUUAUGGGUGGCAUUCAGUGGAGUUAUUUGAAAUAUUGCAUAUCAACAUCAGAAUUUGGCAUUUCAAGCAUUCCACAUGUUGG